CAUUCAAAGCUUUCGCAACUCUGUUCUCCAAAUUCAUAGAGACUUAAAACCUUUGGAGUUUUUCCUAUUUUCGUGUAGACCGUUUCCUCUCCUUGCAUAAUCAAAAUGUGUCAAUGGCCUUGCUAUCCCGCUGCCUGCAUUGGAUCAUGUGGUGGCUGCCCCCCAAGUGGCUUCUUUGAUCCUAGCUUUGGAUCACUUGCCGGUCCAUGCCACGGCUUGGGUGGCUCCUGUUAUGGAUGCUGGGGUGGAUGUUGCUGACACCGUAAUCACCACUGUCUCUUAUAUAAGCAAGCAUGACGAACCUGAGACUGGCCUACAGAAGAAAUAUAGGGAAACUUCCAAGGGGGGACUAGCAUAUUAAUUUCUUAUGUACCAGGCAGCGAUCCGUUAUCUUAACAGCUAUUGUUGCAAUAUAGAAUUUAUGUUUGAACAAAAUAAACCAUAAAAUGUAAUUAUCUUUUUAAUCUUAUUGUGGCUUAUAUAAAUCUGGCUUAUAGACUUGUUUCUGAUCUCAUUGGUCAAUCUCCAUGAUAAAUAGGAUGGAAACUGAUUUUAAUAUUGAUGAAAUAGGAUAACGAUGAAUCUAUUGGGGUCCAAAGAGUCUCUUUAAAUGCGUUACUUAUUGCAGGACAAAAUGAUAAUAUCCUCUGCACUUGUAUACGAAAAUGUUGUGAUUCAAGCAGUUUUGAUUUGAAAAAAUAGUAUUCCUACUGCAAAAUACCGAGCAGGCUUUGACAAUUGAUGUCAAAACCUACAUUUGGUUUGUGGGAAUCAAUACAUCUUUUUGUCAUUCAUCUUUCGUACCUUCAACAGAAAACUACAAUAAAAAUAUAAGAUUGUUUGCCGGCUUCAGGUAACAGUCUUUUCUGUAGUUAAGCACUGUGGUUCAUCGAUAGCAAAUUAUUGUAUCUUGUAGUACCUAUUUCCGUGAAGAACUUGCCAAAGCAAUUUCAUUUCAAGAUGUGUAAUCCAUGCUACGCGUGCUGUGGUUCUUGCUGCUCCCCAUGUUGUGGCCCAUGCGGUGGUUCCUGUGGUCCUUGCGGUCGGAGCUGCGGCCCAUGUGGUCCUCCGUGCUGCGGAAAGCGUAAUGGGCUUCAAUGUUGUGGACCAUGCGGACCAUGUGGUGGUUGCUGCUAACCACUUCUUUAGAACGAAAUUUAGGUACUACAUAUACACAGUCAUCUGAAAUGAAUUUCAAAUCAUGCUAUUUUAAAUAAAAAUAUAGAACCAAAAUCAUCGUGUUGCAAA
rnacentral:sRNA from 1 species